UACGUAGGGCGCAAGCGUUGUCCGGAAUUAUUGGGCGUAAAGCGCGCGUAGGUGGCCUCAUAAGUCCGUUGUGAAAGUCAAAGGCUCAACCUUUGAAAGCCGAUGGAUACUGUGAGACUAGAGUACGGAAGAGGCGAGUGGAAUUCCUGGUGUAGCGGUGGAAUGCGCAGAUAUCAGGAGGAACACCGAUGGCGAAGGCAGGUCUCUGGGCCACUACUGACGCUGAGAAGCGAAAGCAUGGGGAGCGAACAGG
rnacentral:rRNA from 1 species